GGUGGAGCAUGUGGUUUAAUUCGAAGCAACGCGAAGAACCUUACCAGGUCUUGACAUCCUUUGACCACUCUGGAGACAGAGCUUUCCCUUCGGGGACAAAGUGACAGGUGGUGCAUGGUUGUCGUCAGCUCGUGUCGUGAGAUGUUGGGUUAAGUCCCGCAACGAGCGCAACCCUUGAUUUUAGUUGCCAGCAUUUAGUUGGGCACUCUAAAGUGACUGCCGGUGCAAGCCGGAGGAAGGUGGGGAUGACGUCAAAUCAUCAUGCCCCUUAUGACCUGGGCUACACACGUGCUACAAUGGAUAGUACAAAGGGUCGCGAAGCCGCGAGGUGGAGCUAAUCCCAUAAAACUAUUCUCAGUUCGGAUUGUAGGCUGCAACUCGCCUACAUGAAGCCGGAAUCGCUAGUAAUCGUGGAUCAGCAUGCCACGGUGAAUACGUUCCCGGGCCUUGUACACACCGCCCGUCACACCACGAGAGUUUGUAACACCCGAAGUCGGUAGGGUAACCUUUAUGGAGCCAGCCGCCGAAGGUGGGACAGAUAAUUGGGGUGAAGUCGUAACAAGGUAGCCGUAUCGGAAGGUGCGGCUGGAUCACCUCCUUUCUAAGGAA
rnacentral:rRNA from 1 species